rnacentral:rRNA from 1 species
UGGGGAAUAUUGCACAAUGGGCGAAAGCCUGAUGCAGCGACGCCGCGUGAGGGAUGACGGCCUUCGGGUUGUAAACCUCUUUCAGUAGGGACGAAGCGCAAGUGACGGUACCUGCAGAAGAAGCACCGGCUAACUACGUGCCAGCAGCCGCGGUAAUACGUAGGGUGCGAGCGUUGUCCGGAAUUACUGGGCGUAAAGAGCUCGUAGGCGGUUUGUCACGUCGUCUGUGAAAUCCUAGGGCUUAACCCUGGACGUGCAGGCGGUACGGGCUGACUUGAGUACUACAGGGGAGACUGGAAUUUCUGGUGUAGCGGUGGAAUGCACAGAUAUCAGGAAGAACACCGAUGGCGAAGGCAGGUCUCUGGGUAGUAACUGACGCUGAGGAGCGAAAGCAUGGGUAGCGAACAGG